GUCCCCUGACAAGUUAACGCCUUUCGUCGUACUUGAACUUCCAGUUUCACAUUCGGGAGAUGAUCACCCAGUGUAACCAGUGCCUGGUGCUGCAGUAUGGCCUGGGGAAACAGAGGACAAGAUGAAGCACUCCAUCAGAAAGAUUGGCAAAGUCAUUCUGCAGCAAAUUUUGUUCUGAGGAAAAUCCAAGGGGAAGAACACCAUCUACAGCAUCAUCGACCCGUCUGAUUCCGAUAUGCUGGGGCACCAGAGGGCACGGUCAGCAAGCUCUCCACCCACAACUUCAAGAUCCUCAACAACAUCAUUUUGACAAUACUUGUGCACCCCCGACUACCUUGUGAUGUAACUCAGCAGAAGAGACCACUAAGCAAAUCAGGAUCAUUUUUUUUUUACAGAUUUAACUGAUUUUUAGCUUUUAACACCAUCAUGUCUUACUCAUGAAUGAUAAAUGAUGGCUGUUGUAUAGGAAAACAUCAUUCAUUUAUGAAUUAACAAACCAACAAAGUAAUCAAUAAUUAAAUAAGGGAAUGAGGCAAUACAAGGAUGUAAAACAGUAUGUAAAUACUAAAGGAGAUCAAGCACUUGCCAUACCCUUAAAAAAGCAGCUUAUCACAAAAUGGAUGGUCUACCAACAAACAUAAUAAAUCACAAAUGGCAAUAGACCACUUUUGGUU